rnacentral:lncRNA from 1 species
CUCCUACACUAGGAGGGAAUACCCAAAAAUAUCGAUUGACAUUAUGUCUUAUUCUACUUAUCCAAUAAAGCUCUAGUUAUUUUAGUUGAUACUCCCUAUUGUUAUCAGUAAAUUAAAAGGGUUGGCUGAUAUUUCAAAAAAAGAGAAAAGAAAGAAAGAGGACAAAAGUCCCAAUGCAAAAGAAAAGGAAGACAGCCAAGUCCUUAUUCUC